rnacentral:rRNA from 1 species
CCUACGGGAGGCAGCAGUGGGGAAUAUUGCACAAUGGGGGGAACCCUGAUGCAGCGACGCCGCGUGGGUGAAGGAGCACCUCGGUGCGUAAAGCCCUAUCGGCAGGGAAGAAAAGCGAACAGGUUCGCCUGGACGGUACCUGACUAAGAAGCCCCGGCUAACUACGUGCCAGCAGCCGCGGUAAUACGUAGGGGGCAAGCGUUAUCCGGAUUCACUGGGUGUAAAGGGAGCGUAGACGGCGGCGCAAGGCUGGAGUGAAAGCGCGGGGCCCAACCCCGGGACUGCUCUGGAAACUGCGGCGCUGGAGUACGGGAGGGGCAGGCGGAAUUCCUGGUGUAGCGGUGAAAUGCGUAGAUAUCAGGAGGAACACCGGCGGCGAAGGCGGCCUGCUGGACCGUGACUGACGUUGAGGCUCGAGAGCGUGGGGAGCAAACAGGAUUAGAUACCCCGGUAGUC